CGUCCCGUGCGUUCAGACCUGAAGCUUUCCAUGCUGUCAUAGCUAAAUUGUAUACCUACUGUAGGCUACCUAUCGCCAGUGAAUUGUCAGUGUGAAGAUCUGAAUCAUCGCAAAGCAGUUUGAAUAAGAACUUUCUGCACACAGAGCCAGAAUAAGCGUGCGUUAGGAAAACGACUGCACCAUCUGCUGACAUGGGUGUGAAAAUGCUUCAGUGCUUCCCAUUCUACAGACGCUUCAGGGAAAGGUGCAAAAGACAAUGCCCUCCAGAGACAGUAGAAAGAGAAGUUAUGAAACCACGGUUGUCAUCCACUACCUCGUGGGGCAGUGAAGGGGACAGCGGCAGCAUUCUGUGUCCACAGGCCUAUUUUUCCCACAAGGCCCGACUCUCUCUCCGACACCAGCUGGACAGCAACAUCAAUGCAGUGGAUGCUACGUACUAACUUUGUCUUCCAAGUGGUCUGUUGAGAAUCCUUGAAAGUAAACUUCUGCCUUUCAGUCCCAAUACAGUUCACAUCCCUUGAGUUUGAGGGGAACUGGAGGAUGAGGCAUUGAGAGGAUGGGACAUGCAGCAUGAGAGCUAUUCGCAUUUGUGCUGUCACCUCUAUUGAGCGUGCUCACGGGGACACACAAUGUCAGCUAUACACAUUGUAGCGAUGUGAAGAUCAGCGUUUAGAGCCCUGUAACAUAAUGAUACAGCUAUGUGUAAAAUGGUAUAAGGGGAAAUGCUAAAAAACUUGAGUGAGUGAUGUUUACAUAACAAGUGCUUUCUGUAGCAUGAGAACAAGAUAAAAUGCAGCUGGAUCAGAUCGAUCAUGGGUUUCAUAAUUGAUCAUAAAUUUAGUGUAUACUAUAAGAGCGAGUGAUUGUUUCCUUUCACAUAAGUGUUUUUAAAGUUAACUUUACUUUGUGUACUAGUGCCAUUUACCCUACAAGCUGUACCAAGGUUUGUCAAUAUACAGUGAGAACUUUAAUCUCAUUUAUAGAUCUGAAGGCAUUCGCUCAAAAAGGGUUUACAAAACAACGGGUUCAUGGGCUCUGUGAACUUUAAGCCUUACUUACUAAUGCAUUAAUAUGCACAAGAAUUUCUUAUUCUUUAGAAGCUUUUCUUUGCAUUGCAUUUAAAAACUUAGAAAGUCAAAGGGGGAUAUUUGUCAAAAAUUAAUUGUUGCUAUUGUUUUAACAAAAAAUUGUGCAUCUAGCCCUAAUUUUGUUUUACAUGUUAAAUACGGUUCUUUCCGAGUACAAAGUUGAAUUUCACCUCUGAACACUACUAUGAACAAUUUCUCUUUUGUAUAGGCUACAGUGUAUGUUUUUUUUUUUUAAGAUGCAUAAAAUGAAAAAUAGUAAAUUAUAAUAAAGUCAACACAACAUGUA